CACCCCGCGAAACGCAGUACAGUUGCCGGCGGAGAAACAAAAGAAAUCGUAUCUGCCAAAUACUUUGCAUAUUCCGGCGAAACCUGAUAGCAUAAGAGGCGAUAAGGGCUAUCGGAGCCAUUUAACUACGGUGUGCGGGGUUAUCUGAGGAUACCUAUCUUCGAGCGGAAUCUGAUCGAGUUCAAGGCUGGCCUGGCCAAACAAAUCUUACGAUAAGGGUGGUAUUUCCCGUUACCAACUAAUUGGUUUUUAUAUCUCUCUUUUGGCCUAUAAAUAGUAUAUGUGUUUUAUUUUCAGAUUUUCUCCCCCCGCUUUUCAUUCAUCCGCGGAAUUGAUGUCAGUGGGUUUCCAUGUCUCCGGCGCCGGCGCAACUAUUUCAGCUUCAAAUCAGUUUUCACUUUCGCGCCGCAACUUUCACAAGCCGAGUGCCCCACUCGCUGAGUGCCCCUAAUGCCCGGAGGCGGAUGCAAGGGGCCUGAGUUCGAGGUCAGCGUUUGGUUUGAGCAAAAUUGAAAAAGUUAUUAAGCAUUUUUUAAAUGGCUAAAUUUUUAAGCUACAAAUGUGAAGUUUGACCAAUAAAUUAUUUGCUCCAGUCGC